UGAAGGUGCAGCUACCAAUACUCACAUUUUUACCAUAGGAUUCUGCAUUCCUGGACAUGAUUGAGUGGACCAGCGUAGGACACCUGACUCAAGAUGGAUUAAUGAAGAGAGAAGAUAAGAAUGUGACAAAUAUGGAGAAGCCAUGAUCUCAUCAUCUUGGGGGAAGUGGAGCAGGAAAAUAAAAGGAAGUAAAAAGAGAAAGAAAAAGACAGCUGAUCUGCAAACGAACAUGAAUGGACCAGUCCUGGCUCCUCUCUUGACUGGUCCAUCCUGCAUGGGAACAUGCAUGCUUUUUGUCUCUCCAUGACUAUAAUUUAAUAGUAAACAACCACUACUACACCAUCUGCAGUAGCAGCCCAAUGUAAUUCUCAUGGAGCCAACGGAUAUUGUAAUAACACUACUUAAGAACAAGAAAACACCGAUGAUGCACUUCUCUCUUUGAGAGAAUGGAGACUGAUUCAAGUUUCCUGGAGAAAUGGAGCUUAUUGUAAGGCUGCACAUAUCCAUCGUAAGGGAGAUGGGCAUCAGAGGAAAAGAAGUAAUACUGGUUAUUAACUAUCCAAUUGCUUUUCUUUCCCCCAGCAGCAAGAAGA